rnacentral:rRNA from 1 species
UGGAUCCAGACUUUGAUCCUGGCUCAGGACGAACGCUGGCGGCGUGCUUAACACAUGCAAGUCGAACGGGGUGUUUAUUUCGGUAAACACCAAGUGGCGAACGGGUGAGUAACGCGUAAGCAAUCUACCUUCAAGAUGGGGACAACACUUCGAAAGGGGUGCUAGUACCGAAUGAAUGUAAGAGUAUCGCAUGAGACACUUACUAAAGGAGGCCUCUGAAAAUGCUUCCGCUUGAAGAUGAGCUUGCGUCUGAUUAGCUAGUUGGUGAGGGUAAAGGCCCACCAAGGCGACGAUCAGUAGCCGGUCUGAGAGGAUGAACGGCCACAUUGGGACUGAGACACGGCCCAGACUCCUACGGGAGGCAGCAGUGGGGAAUCUUCCGCAAUGGGCGAAAGCCUGACGGAGCAACGCCGCGUGAACGAUGAAGGUCUUAGGAUCGUAAAGUUCUGUUGUUAGGGACGAAGGAUAAGGAUUAUAAUACAGUCUUUGUUUGACGGUACCUAACGAGGAAGCCACGGCUAACUACGUGCCAGCAGCCGCGGUAAUACGUAGGCGGCAAGCGUUGUCCGGAAUUAUUGGGCGUAAAGGGAGCGCAGGCGGGAAACCAAGCGGAUCUUAAAAGUGCGGGGCUCAACCCCGUGAUGGGGUCCGAACUGGUUUUCUUGAGUGCAGGAGAGGAAAGCGGAAUUCCCAGUGUAGCGGUGAAAUGCGUAGAUAUUGGGAAGAACACCAGUGGCGAAGGCGGCUUUCUGGACUGUAGCUGACGCUGAGGCUCGAAAGCUAGGGUAGCGAACGGGAUUAGAUACCCCGGUAGUCCUAGCCGUAAACGAUGGAUACUAGGUGUGGGAGGUAUCGACUCCUUCCGUGCCGGAGUUAACGCAAUAAGUAUCCCGCCUGGGGAGUACGGCCGCAAGGUUGCAACUCAAAUGAAUUGACGGA